AAAACACAGACUGAGCGGCUUGAAGUUGUUUUUCUGCCUCUGUUGAAUCUGAUACAGGACAGUUCAGUAAAUACAGACCGGAACCCGAAGGUAGUAGGUCAUGGUUUGGAGAGAACUUUUCAUCUGGCUGCAGGAUUAAGAACUCCCCCAUUGGAGCAAACAAUAACUUCUGGUUAUUCAGACAUUGAUGAUUGCGGAAGUUUGCGUUGAUAGCUUUAAGAAACUCUGCUACGUGAUUGGGAUAAUUGCAAGAGAAGGCUCGGGGUACAAUGUCUCGGUGCAUUGUGAUUGCCUGCACAUGACUUCGAGGCAAGCCAAGGCGGCGUAGGAGGCGGUCUCCUCCACACAUUAUUGAUGGUGCACCAAAAGUUAUAACAGGAAGCAAGGAAGAUAGGGGAACUUCUCCCCUUAUGAACAGCAUGAGAUUGACGAGCAAUGAUAAACUUCCACCAAGAGAGUGCCCAGUAAAACGGAAAUUGGCACGACUACCGUGAGAUUUAAGAUGUGAGCGUACUUCUGGUAGCAUCUGCGCGUACAUGCCCUUUGCAGCUUCAUAAAUACCCCGGUGGACCAUCACAUCCAGACCCUCAAAUUUAACAGGUUCAAACAGUAGAUUUGCUUUCCAUGAUGCUAGUGACUCUGAUCCCUGAAUUACAAAGAAUCUUGUCAAGCUCUGAUCAUCAUCACAAACAACAUAAUAAUCUUGGGAAUAGUAAUAAUAAUAUUCAGACGCUGUAUCUGAUGAACCCUAACAGUUAUAUGCAAGGCUACACUACAACUGACACACAGCAGCACCUGCAACAGCAACAGAACCAGCACCAGUUACUUUUUCUGAAUUCAGCACCAGCAGGAGGCAACGCGCUUAGCCAUGCGAAUAUACAACACGCGCCUCUGCAACAGCAGCACUUUGUCGGCGUGCCCCUUCCGGCAGUGAGUUUGCAUGAUCAGAUCAAUCAUCACGGACUUUUACAGCGUAUGUGGAACAAUCAAGACCAAUCUCAGCAGGUGAUAGUACCGUCGUCGACGGUGGUUUCUGCCACGUCAUGUGGCGGGACCACCACGGACUUGGCGUCUCAACUGGCGUUUCAGAGGCCGAUUGUGGUGUCUCCGACACCACAACACCGACAACAACAACAACAGCAAGGCGGUCUAUCACUGAGCCUUUCUCCUCAGCAACAGCAACAAAUUAGUUUCAAUAACAAUAUUUCAUCAUCAUCACCAAGGACAAAUAAUGUUACUAUUAGAGGAACACUGGAUGGAUGUUCUAGCAACAUGAUUUUAGGCUCUAAGUAUCUGAAAGCUGCACAAGAGCUUCUUGAUGAAGUGGUUAAUAUUGUUGGAAAAAGUAACAAAGGAGAUGAUCAAAAGAAGGAUAAUUCAAUGAAUAAAGAAUUAAUUCCUUUGGUUAGUGAUGUCAAUACUAAUAGUUCUGGUGGUGGUGGUGGUGGUGAAAGUAGCAGCAGGCAGAAAAAUGAAGUUGCCAUUGAGCUUACAACUGCUCAAAGACAAGAACUUCAAAUG
rnacentral:misc_RNA from 1 species